UGAGGAAUAUUGGUCAAUGGGCGAGAGCCUGAACCAGCCAAGUCGCGUGAAGGCAGACAGUCCUAAGGAUUGUAAACUUCUUUUAUACGGGAAUAACGGGCGAUACGAGUAUUGCAUUGAAUGUACCGUAAGAAUAAGCAUCGGCUAACUCCGUGCCAGCAGCCGCGGUAAUACGGAGGAUGCGAGCGUUAUCCGGAUUUAUUGGGUUUAAAGGGUGCGUAGGUUGUUCGGUAAGUCAGCGGUGAAACCUGAGCGCUCAACGUUCAGCCUGCCGUUGAAACUGCCGGGCUUGAGUUCAGUGGCGGCAGGCGGAAUUCGUGGUGUAGCGGUGAAAUGCAUAGAGAUCACGAGGAACUCCGAUUGCGAAGGCAGCUUGCCAUACUGCGACUGACACUGAAGCACGAAGGCGUGGGUAUCAAACAGG
rnacentral:rRNA from 1 species